rnacentral:rRNA from 1 species
GGACGAACGCUGGCGGCGUGCCUAACACAUGCAAGUCAACUUGACUGAAGGAGCAAUCUGACAGUAGAGUGGCGCAAGGGUGCGUAACGCGUAAGUAACUUGCCCAAGGUAAGGAAUAACGUCGAGAAAUCGGCGCUAAUACCUCAUAAUGCAGCGGAUCCGCAUGGAUAUGUUGUUAAAGGUUAUCGCCUUGGGAUAGGCUUGCGUCUGAUUAGCUAGUUGGUGUGGUAACGGCACACCAAGGCUACGAUCAGUAACUGGUCUGAGAGGAUGAUCAGUCACACUGGAACUGAGACACGGUCCAGACUCCUACGGGAGGCAGCAGUGAGGAAUAUUGGGCAAUGCUCGAAAGAGUGACCCAGCAACGCCGCGUGGAGGAUGAAGGUAUUCUAUAUCGUAAACUCCUGUGAGAGCAGACGAAAGACAGAUUAUUAAUCUGGAUGACUGUAUGCUCAGAGGAAGCCCCGGCUAACUACGUG